rnacentral:rRNA from 1 species
GACGAACGCUGGCGGCGUGCUUAACACAUGCAAGUCGAACGGAAAGGCCCUGCUUGUGUGGGGUGCUCGAGUGGCGAACGGGUGAGUAACACGUGAGUAACCUGCCCUUGACUUUGGGAUAACUUCAGGAAACUGGGGCUAAUACCGGAUAGGAGCUCCUGCUGCAUGGUGGGGGUUGGAAAGUUUCGGCGGUUGGGGAUGGACUCGCGGCUUAUCAGCUUGUUGGUGGGGUAGUGGCUUACCAAGGCUUUGACGGGUAGCCGGCCUGAGAGGGUGACCGGCCACAUUGGGACUGAGAUACGGCCCAGACUCCUACGGGAGGCAGCAGUGGGGAAUAUUACACAAUGGGCGGAAGCCUGAUGCAGCAACGCCGCGUGCGGGAUGACGGCCUUCGGGUUGUAAACCGCUUUCGCCUGUGACGAAGCGUGAGUGACGGUAAUGGGUAAAGAAGCACCGGCUAACUACGUG